rnacentral:tRNA from 1 species
AAGGUACUAGUAAAGGAUUACAUUGCCUUGUCGAGGCAAAAUCGCGGGUUAGACCCCCGCGUACCUUA